rnacentral:rRNA from 1 species
CUUGCAAAAACAACGAAUAAGAGGUCCCGCCUGCCCUGUGACUAUAAUUUUAACGGCCGCGGUAUUUGGACCGUGCGAAGGUAGCGCAAUCACUUGUCUUUUAAAUGGAGACCUGUAUGAAUGGCACGACGAGGGCUUAGCUGUCUCCUUUUUCCAGUCGAUGAAAUUGAUCUCCCCGUGCAGAAGCGGGGAUUUACACAUAAGACGAGAAGACCCUAUGGAGCUUUAGACACCAAAGCAGAUCAUGUUAAACACCCCUAAAUAUAGGACUAAACCAGAUGAACCCUGCCCUAGUGUCUUUGGUUGGGGCGACCGCGGGGAAACACAAAACCCCCACGUGGAAUGGGAAUACCCUCCUACAACCUAGAGCCUCCGCUCUAGUAAACAGAAUUUCUGACCAAACAGAUCCGGCAAUGCCGAUCAACGGACCGAGUUACCCUAGGGAUAACAGCGCAAUCCCCUUCUAGAGCCCAUAUCGACAAGGGGGUUUACGACGUCGAUGUUGGAUCAGGACAUCCUAAUGGUGCAGCCGCUAUUAAGGGUUCGUUUGUUCAACGAUUA